UACAGAGGUCCCAAGCGUUUGUUCGGAUUCAUUGGGCGUAAAGGGUGCGUAGGUGGCGUCGUAAGUCGGGUGUGAAAUUUCGGAGCUCAACUCCGAAACUGCAUUCGAUACUGCGGUGCUUGAGGACUGGAGAGGAGACUGGAAUUUACGGUGUAGCAGUGAAAUGCGUAGAGAUCGUAAGGAGGACCAGUGGCGAAGGCGGGUCUCUGGACAGUUCCUGACACUGAGGCACGAAGGCCAGGGGAGCAAACGGG
rnacentral:rRNA from 1 species